UUCUAGCAAUUAGAAAAAGGUCUGUGCUACUGGCUAGGCUUAUGGCUGUAUGCUCCCUUCAGUCCCCACAGGAUGAGUGGAAGGUCUGCCUGGAUGUACUGCCUUCUCUCUGUAUCAAGGCUGAAUGUGGUCUCGGCUUGUCUGCAUGCUUCAGAAACUGGUCGCCUGCAUUCAGUUCUCCAGCAGCUUCCUUCAUGGAAAUGAAGUUUGGCAGAAGAAGGUUUUAAUGGCCACCAACAGUGGAGCUGGCUUCCAGACUGUGAAUAGAUUCAGGGAACAAGAACAAAAACAAAUCAACAACAACGAAAACAGCAACAUCUGUGUAUACUGUAGAAGCAGAUUUGUCAUUAUUUGGUACAUUGGCUUAAUACUGAGAAAGGACUGAAUAAUUACUUUAAAGGUUCAAUCCCAUCUUGCACUUCUGACAAAUCAUUCUGUCCCCGAUGAAGAACACUCCGGCAACUUUGGGCUGAAAUGCAAGCAGAUUCACUCAGUCCCCACAAACUUUCAAAAAUGUGCAUCUGGAAAAAAAAAGUGACAGAGACUGACUCCCAGAGAUAUUCCCCAGGAACUCUCCCCAGUCUGUGGUGCAAUAUGUGGUCUGACCCAGCUGGACACCGGGCAGUACUUGGCCUCCAGCCCUUCUGGCUGGAGUCUUCCCCAAGGUAGGGUUUAUCCUCACAUAAAAUUGCCAACCAGGGCCCACUUGGGUAUAGAACUAAUUUAGCCUCCUGUACACUUGAUGAAUGAAGAAUUUCCUCUGGGGACUAAAUUAUAGGGCUUGCUGGAGUUGCUCUUUCGUGAUCUGUUAUUUGGAGGUAAUUUUCCAAAAGGGCUGGAACACAUGGCCAUGAGCUAGAAUAGGAUUCACCAUGAACAGCUGCCACGCGCUGGCCGGCACAUCCCAGUGCCCUCGUCUUCUCCCCAUCCUCCCCUGCCACUGCCCCUGCUUCCCCAGAGAGGAGGUCCAGACAACAGGGCUGGACUUGACGUUAGAUCUUUACUUUCCUUCUUAAUUAAACCACUAGAAUGGAAUCUGCCCACCUUUUUCUGCACCCAGAUUUCCAGAAAUGUAACAUCUUGUUGUAACACGUUUCAAAACAGAUGACAGGCCUUCCCCUCAUCCUCCAAUGUCGCUGAUUACAAGCUUCUGUCAAAUUCCACCAACCCCCACCCUGCCACCACCCCAGUUGGCUUGAAGAUAAGCUUCUGAUCUUCUCUUGGCUUUUUGAACUGUUGGAAGCUGUGUAAACACAAGCUGCAGGUUAGUCAGAUUCUAUUUGACCCAGGGCCUGCUGAGUGCAAAGAGAUUACAUUUGAAAACUCCCUUGUCUAAUUAAGCAAUGGUGACCUAUUGUGGGGUGCUUGCUGAUGAGGUCAAAUAG
rnacentral:lncRNA from 13 species